rnacentral:lncRNA from 1 species
ACAUGGAAAACAACACAUCUAUUUACUGGACCAACAUCACUGGGAAAAACCUUCAUGGUCUAUGAGGGCAUUGCUGGACAAAAGCAAGGACACUGCAAGUGAACAAGAGCCAUGCAGCCCUUCAGACAUAUUACAGUCAAAGACAAAGGAGAGAAGCUGAAGUUAAUUUUUGUGGUAUCAACAUCAACAGUCUUCAGUGUCAGCUGUUACAGUAUAUUAAAAAUAAUCAAUUCAGAGGAUAAAAUAACAGCUAGAAGUAAAUUGAAGUAAAAAGAAUGUUUGGGAUUAUUUAUGUAGGUUUUGUGUCACAAUCUUCACUAGUGAGACUAAGCUAAACUUUAAGGUCACUUAUGACGUGUCAUUGGCCUAAAUUGCAUUUCAACAGGCAGUGAUCCAUCCUCACAUAAAGCACACGGUCGAGCUGUCUUCGGGGAGCGGUAACUGAUCCUAACGGUCCGUGUCAUGUGAGGAACUUCAUCUUGAAUAAAGUUGUACAAAAAAAAAAAAAAACGGAUCAGUCGGGAAGGAAAAAGGAACCGGGAUGAGGCCGCCGUUUAACGAGCUGUUUAAGGUGCCGCGUUUUCAAACAGAA